rnacentral:rRNA from 1 species
AUGUCUCUGGAUGAAGAGCCGGUGCACGAGCAUAAUGGGCCGGCCCUGCUCAGGUUUGAAUCAAGAUGGCUGAAGGAGAAAAGAUUUUUGAAAGUUGUGCAACAAGCAUGGGAUCGGUCUCAUGCUCCAGCUGGGAAUGUAGUUUGGAUUCCACCACCGGCGGGUCAUCACAAGGUAAAUGUCGAUGCUGCUAUUUGUAAACAACCUCCUAUCGGGGCUAUAAGUGCGGUCUGUCGGGAUCAAUCAGGAGCAUUUGCUGGGUCAGCAGCGGUGGUAUUCCGUGGCAUGACCGACCCGAACAUACUGGAAGCUUUGGCAUGCCGCGAGGCUAUUGCUUUAGCCAGGGACCUUGCACUUGCUCAUUUGAAGGUAGCUUCGGAUUGCCUUUCGGUGGCCAAGGACAUACAUACUGGCACUAUGGGUACAAUUGCUCCAAUCGUGGAGGAGAUCAUCGACUCGAGUAGGGAGUUUCAGUCUUCUUCUUUCGUCCAUGAGAGACGUCUCUUUAAUAAGGAGGCUCAUGGCUUAGCUCGACAUGCUUUACAUUUAGGGGAGGGUUGGCAUGUAUGGCUGUUACACCCUCAUUAUACUUCUAUUAUUCCUGUAAUUCGCUCUAUUGAUCAAUAA